rnacentral:rRNA from 1 species
AUGACAACGUCCGUCGACAUCGGUACCCACAGCGCCACAGGAACGACCCCGACGCCGACAGGACCCAAAGCUGUAACCACUGUGCCGGACAGGCCAGCCGUGGCGACGAACCGCUCAUCGUUCAGGAACCGCAUGGACGAGGACGAGGACGACCUAUAUGCAAUGUCGUCGAGCGACUCCUCGUCAGAGGAGGACGACGACGACGCCCACUGGGACCCAUCCGAGUGCAGGAAGAGUGACGGCGCGAGACGCCGGCCGCAGAAGCACCAGAGCGGCACCGCGGCAGAGAGGAGGCAGCAAACGGAAACCGUCGUGCGGUCGGUGGUGCCGCGCGGCGUGGUGAUCACCGUGGAGGGCGGAGGCGGUGGCAACGGCAGGCACUGGUGCCGCAACUGCGGCAUCUUGGAGACCCCACUGUGGCGCGCUGGCCCGGAGGGGCCCAAGACGCUGUGCAACGCGUGCGGUUUGCGGCAUAAGAACAAGCUGGCGGCGCCGCCGACCACUAAGCGCCCGCGUGCGGCGAAACCAAAUAGCGCCAAAAGCAAGAACCACUCCGGCAUGCACUUGGCGGGCGGUGCGACGGUGGUGAGGAAGAAGCGCAGUGCCGCAAAUCGCACAGACUGA